AACGUAGGAGACAAACGUUAUCCGGAGUUACUGGGCGUAAAGGGCGUGUAGGUGGUAGUGUAAGUCUGGCGUGAAAUUUUUCGGCUUAACCGGGAAAGGUCGUCGGAUACUGCACAACUAGAGGACGGUAGAGGCGUGUGGAAUUCCGGGUGUAGUGGUGAAAUGCGUAGAGAUCCGGAGGAACACCAGUGGCGAAGGCGACACGCUGGGCCGUACCUGACACUGAUGCGCGACAGCAUGGGGGAGCAAACAGG
rnacentral:rRNA from 1 species